rnacentral:rRNA from 1 species
UACAGAGGUCUCGAGCGUUAGGCGGAAUCACUGGGCUUAAAGCGUGUGUAGGCGGAUCGUUAAGUGCCUUGUGAAAUCCCACGGCUCAACCGUGGAACUGCUUGGCAUACUGGCGGCCUUGAGCAACCUAGGGGCGAGCGGAACAAAUGGUGGAGCGGUGAAAUGCGUAGAUAUCAUUUGGAACGCCAAUGGUGAAAACAGCUCGCUGGGGGUUUGCUGACGCUGAGACACGAAAGCCAGGGGAGCAAACGGG